rnacentral:siRNA from 1 species
UUCGGCCUUCAAAGUUCUCAUUU